UUUAAAUUAAUUUAAAGGAACUAACUUCAAGUUAGUUAAGUCGGUGAUUUCAAAAUGGUGUCGCGUCCUUUCAAACGGUGCGAAUUAAAAGUGUUUCAUAACGUUAUUGUAGUGUUGGUGCGAUUGGGGCGCUCAAAAAUUCUUCAAAUUCGUGCUCCUGGAGCAAUUAGGAUUUCCCCCGCAUGGUGGCGCUUCAUUAAGGUAAGAUUACCCACAAUUCUCUUCGUUACCAACCAACCUCGUUAUUGACGUUUAACCUCAAAUUUUCUUUAAUAAUUAUGUCUAAAAAAACCGAAAUAAUUACACUCAAUACUCGCAAGAAGUAUCAUCAAGGUAAACAAUCAUAUUGUUAAUGGUUACAGUUCUAGUUCAUCGCUUAAUUACGAUAAAUCAAAGAUAUGUUUAUAUCAUUCCGGAAUUGGAUAUCUACGCAAUUUCAAGUUGCGAAACCGCCCCAGUUAGAGAUCUAUUUCGUUGCGAUUAUCGCCGUUUUGACUCAUUAUGGGGUGAAGAAGCAGGCUGCGAAAGCCGCCAAAACCGUUAAAUAUGGUUCGAACGUCGAUGGAAUUAGCACAUGUGACCCCGAACAAUACGCAAGAAGAUUUAUGGAGUUUAUGUCCAAAGCUAUUGAAUAGAUUUAGUGUGAUCGGUUUCUAUUAUCUUUAUUUUGUGUUAUUUAGAGGUUAAUCGGAAGAUUUUAUGUAGGUAGAUGUUGUAAAUAUGAUUUAUUUUUGUGUAAGUUCUUGGUUAGUUUGUUUAUAUCGAUUUUUUAUUGAAAAAAAGAAAAAAAGUGAGGUUAGAACAUGAAAUUUUUUUCAACAUAACCUCAAAUUAUUUAAUUUUUUUUGUUAAAAUCAUUUUUAUAUUACUUUUGAUUAAUCUUAUUCGUGAUUAAUCGUAUUUUCGAUUGAUUUCAUCACUUUUUAUUAAUCACUAUACAAUAAAUCGAUAAAAAAGUGAGGUUAGGUGAAGGAAAAGCCAAUUUUUUUCACAAAAAGGUCACCGAAUUUCUUGGUACAAUAAACUCGCUUAUUUCAAAAGAUAUUAAUGAUUAUUAUAAAAUGUAAGAGAAAUAAAGGGGUUCUAAUUAGAUUAAAACAUUUAAAACCUUUUUUUACAACAAAAGAUUGUUUAAUUUGUACAUAUUAUGUAAGUGGCCCCUUUUUAGGUGUUUAUUUCGUUCAAAGAUGUACAUAUUUGCAUCGGUCGAAGCUUUUAUUAAGAUUGUAACACAGAAAUCGAUUUUUUUUUACUACAAGCUCAAUUCACAACUUUCUACUCUUAACAAAUCCGUAAAAAGGCUACACUCUUUAUAUUCGCUUGUAAAUAUCGUUAUUAUUACGUAUUUUUGUGGUAUUUUUAAUCUAUCAUGUCAUCUAGUCUUAUUCGAGUACGGCGUAAGGUGCAGCUCGUGUCAUGAUUUCUUUACUUCGCGUAUAUAUUUGUGUUAUUAUUACGAUUAUGGAUAUGUUUAUAAAUAAAUUAUGUCUUAAAAAUAA